rnacentral:rRNA from 1 species
GAAUAUUGCGCAAUGGAGGAAACUCUGACGCAGCGACGCCGCGUGCGGGAUGAAGGCCUUCGGGUUGUAAACCGCUUUCAGUAGGGAAGAAGCGAAAGUGACGGUACCUACAAAAGAAGCACCGGCUAACUAUGUGCCAGCAGCCGCGGUAAUACAUAGGGUGCAAGCGUUGUCCGGAAUUAUUGGGCGUAAAGAGCUCGUAGGUCGUUUGUUACGUCGGAUGUGAAAAUCUGAGGCUCAACCUCAGACCUGCAUUCGAUACGGGCAAACUAGAGUUUGGUAGGGGAGACUGGAAUUCCUGGUGUAGCGGUGGAAUGCGCAGAUAUCAGGAGGAACAUCAACGGCGAAGGCAGGUCUCUGGGCCAAUACUGACACUGAGGAGCGAAAGCGCGGGGAGCGAUCAGGAUUAGAUACCCCAGUAGUC